AUUGAACGCUGGCGGCAGGCCUAACACAUGCAAGUCGAGCGAGCGGCGGACGGGUGAGUAAUGUCUGUGAAACUGCCUGAUGGAGGGGGAGAACUACUGGGAACGGUAGCUAAUACCCCAUACCAUCAGGUGUGCCCAGAUGGGAUUAGCUAGUAGGUGGGGUAAUGGCUCACCUAGGCGACGCUCCCUAGCUGGUCUGAGAGGAUGACCAGCCACACUGGAACUGAGACACGGUCCAGACUCCGACGGGAGGCAGCAGUGGGGAAUAUUGCACAAUGGGCGCAAGCCUGAUGCAGCCAUGCCGCGUGUGUGAAGAAGGCCUUCGGGUUGUAAAGCACUUUCAGCGGGGAGGCGUUACCCGCAGAAGAAGCACCGGCUAACUCCGUGCCAGCAGCCGCGGUAAUUC
rnacentral:rRNA from 1 species